rnacentral:other from 1 species
UGGCCACUAAAACGUGGUGGGUGGCCACUGAAACCUGCCUGCCCACGUGCCCCAGGACUCUGAGUGAGAAGGUGUCCCCAAACCAGGGGGUGUCCCCAAACCGGGGGGUGUCCCCAAACCAGGAGGUGUCCCCAAACCAGGAGGUGUCCCCAAACCAGGAGGUGUCCCCAAACCAGGAGGUGUCCCCAAACCAGGAGGUGUCCCCAAACCAGGAGGUG